rnacentral:rRNA from 1 species
GACGAACGCUGGCGGCGUGCUUAACACAUGCAAGUCGAGCGGAAAGGCUCCUUCGGGGGUACUCGAGCGGCGAACGGGUGAGUAACACGUGAGUAAUCUGCCCUUGGCUUCGGGAUAACUACCGGAAACGGUGGCUAAUACCGGAUAUGACCACUCCUUGCAUGAGGUGGUGGUGGAAAGUUUUUUCGGCCAGGGAUGUGCUCGCGGCCUAUCAGCUUGUUGGUGGGGUAAUGGCCUACCAAGGCUUCGACGGUAGCCGGCCUGAGAGGGUGACCGGCCACACUGGGACUGAGACACGGCCCAGACUCCUACGGGAGGCAGCAGUGGGGAAUAUUGGACAAUGGGCGGAAGCCUGAUCCAGCAACGCCGCGUGAGGGAUGACGGCC